UUCUACAAUGUUCCUUUAUGCAGUAAGGACGUUGAAUUCGGGCAGUUAAGAUUUAUUCGAUACGAUCUGAUUAGUUACAUUCGAUGAACGAUCAUUAAAACCGAAUAAGUAUAAUUUGACGCGUGUGUUUAUAUAAGUUGUUUCAUUAAUUUCAUAACAUAUAAUUUUAAUCAUUCGAUAGGUGAUAAUUCGAUAAAUGAAUUAGGUUAUAUAAGUAUAGUAAUUUCCCGCUUCCGAAAUAAUUUUUACUGCGUAUAAUCAGUGUGGACAGUAGUGCCAAUAAAAAAGAAAAAAAAAACGGAAGUGUUGGUAAAACUUAAAGUAAUUUGAUCAACGUAGUCCUUAUUACUUUUCGGUUGAUCGGCCGUUGUCGUUUUAUGAAUUUUUCAUCGUUUUAUAUCGGUGGUGCUGCAGUGUAAUCAUUUUCCAGAAGCAACGAAGAAUAUCGAGUAGCGAUCAAAAUGAUGAACGUGCGAAGGAGACGCUAUGAAAGUAGAUUAUCGGCAUGAUUGAAAUGUCGCAAUAUAGAUCCUAGACAAAACGAUGUUAAAAAUGAUGCAGAUAAUUAUAUGUAGUUUGAAACGAAUAAUACCAAAGCAAUGGCAGUGACUAUAGAAGCAGGUGUUCACAUAAUAAGUUACUUCGUGGGAGAUGAUCGAGUAUCAAUAAAUUACUUGGCGUGCUGAUCUAUCCUCCUGCAGAUAUUGCAAAACCUACGAGCGUCUAGUUUUCCUCAGAUUUAAUGAGCUUGCUAUUGCUUCGUGUAACUCUGAUGCAUCAUUAUUAGACAAAUCUCGGAUGUGGUAUAUACAUUACUUGAAUCAUUCUCUAUCUAUAUAUAUAUAUCGUCUCAUUGUGUGUGUAUGCAGAUCGAAUCAAAAGUUGCUAGAUCGCAAAACUACAAACUUAGCGUUUGUAAAGCUGCAAACGUGACGACUCUCAAAUAAGAGUUAUUAGUUUUUCGAAUCAUCUAAGAACUUUUGACUCAUCCUGUAGAUAUGAAUUAGAUAGAUCUAUAUAAUAGGUGUUAUAGAUCUUAGAAAAAGAAACCCAUGGUGCAAUAAUAUGUACAUCUAAAUGCGUUCGGCCGUUUAAAUGAUUGGAUUCACGUGUCGAAAGCGUCAUUUAGGAAGGGUAGAAUCGUAUUAAGCAGAGCAAAUGCGAAUAAUUCUUUUUUCUUGUUAUUAUUGAAAUUAACUGGUAUUACGUAAACGACUAUUCAAAAUAAUUUCAAAAGGACUCGAGAAAUUAAACUCUUAUUUGUUAAAACGAGCUAAUACAUCUUUUGAUGUCCUACGAGUAAAAUACAUAAACUAAUAAUAUAAUAAGAGAAAAUUAAAGGGACUAUUACAGCCUAGUUCAUUUUUAGUACGGAUAAUCAAAUCGAAGUUAGACAUUUCUGAAGUUUCCUGAGAAUCGUUUCAAGUUGAUGUAGUCUCUAGGUUAUCGAUCGACCCUCCUAUAUAACGAUCGAGUGUUCACAUUAUCGAAUCUUGUGGUUAAAUUUCGGAAAUGUCUUGACAAUAAUGUAUUGUAAUCUUGGUAACUCGGAUUAAAGCAAACUAUUGAAAUCUUUGAUCAGUGCCAGGCAUUAUCAUUUUAGAGAAAAUUUUGUAAAACGAGGUAUCUUGAGGGAAAAGUUUAUAAUCUUGUAUCUCCCACGACACGAUCUUUUCAUUUUUCAUGGAUCAAGAUAACCGUAUUGAAGAAAUUAAAUUAGAGCGAUAAGUUUGAAAGCACACAUAUACACGGGUGAGAAAUGGAGAAGAAAAAGGAUGAGCGAUCCUGUAGGAAUUUUGGAAAAAUUUUGAAAUACGUUGGAAAAAAUUAGAUUGGAGCGAUAAAUUUGAAGAAAACGCAGGUGAGAGACGGAGAUAAAAGAGGGUGUUAUCAUAUAAGAGACAUCGAUCGAUGAAAAUCGAGCGACUCUUUAAGCUGGUCGUAACCUCUAGUAGGUCCGGCCUUUAGGACGAGGUCGUGGUGACCCAGAUCGCUUCGGUCUCGCCUUACCUGUGCUCGACGUACCAUGGCGGCUGCCUUCGGCUGCUCUCCUGCAAUCGUUACCCCGGAUUCUGCGCACUUUAACAACACCUGGUAGGUCCACCAGAACAUUUUUUGUUCAGAAAAGAAUCGUUCGUUUUAUCACUUGAGCGAGAAAACGGAAGAUCAGACAACGCGCGGAAAAUAAAUAUUUCAACAGCUGAAGAUUAUCCAGAAUUUCUUCUUCAAGAUCGUGUCUCAUAUUUUACGCUUCAUUUUAUUACUUUCUGCAAGAUCCAUAGUUGAAGACAAUAGGGGCAUGGAUGGAAAAGGGUGACGAAACAACCACGGGAGGGUUCUACAGCUCUUUUUCUUCUCUCUCUUUCUCUCAUUUUUAUUUUCACGAUAUCGUUCCAACGAUUCUGUAGACAAUCCGUAAGGGCUUAGCACUGUUUCAACAAAGGAUUACCAACGCUACCCUAAGCUCCACGAGAUACCAGAUCGUACAAACCCGUACUGGUGACAAACAUUAAAAUUGCCAAGAUUAAUGUUACGUGGAGAGGUAAAUUUUUAUUCUACUGUAAAAUAAAACAAAACAAAAAAAGAAAAAACCGGUCAACGUUGUUUCCCGUCGUAAUUGCAAGGAUAACCAACAACAAAAGGAACGGUUGAUCCCACUGAAACUUUCGAUAGCCCGUACAAAGUAUUUCCCCGGCAGCGUUUUAACGAAGUGGCGGAGUCGAACGACAAAGGGAGCAUCUCGUUUGACAAAGGACUCCUCUCUUUCUAUCGGGGUUUUUUCACCAACAACAAAAAGAAUAAAAGACAGAAAGUGGAAGGAAGAAGAUCAAUUUAAGGAUAAUGGAAGCUUAUUAUGGAUCAUUUGAGAAACGAGAGUUUACUAGUUUCGUAAUAAAGUUUUCACGCAAGCAAUGGAUUCAUCGAUAAUUAACGUAACGUAACGUAAGAUAAGUUACAACACACGAUAUCUUGAGCAAUCACAUUUGUGAAAUGAUCGAUCUGCCCGAGUACUAAAUCCUGAGUAACUUCGUUUCAAGGAAAAGGAAAUUCAAUUUAACUCGAUAUCCAGACGUUUUCUUAUUUCGACCCUCUCGUAAAAGUAAUUCCGAUAGCUUUGAAUACUUUCCUUUUUUUUUUUUUUGCUAGUUAUCGACUUCAUUAUAGAUAUCUUCAUCUUCUUUACCCCGCCAAACUGAAUUUUUAGACUUUCCUUAACGAAGUACAAGCAAAGUUGGCUUUUACAGAGAACAACUUUUAAUUCAUGGUGUACGCUUGUUAAAUUCCACAAAAUUUUACACACGCAUAUACAAACACGUAUAUACGUAUAAGCGAAUCUCGCUUCAUCUUUUUUAUUAUCGUACAGAAUUCAACCCUUCUCUCUUUUCGUUUUAUUUCCUAUAAUAUUUGCAUUGUGCGAGAAUUCUUUCUUCUCUUUCUCUCUUUUGCCCUAAUAUUUCUAUGCUCCCUCUUGUCCCUCUUUACUCGAGCAUAGAAGGUGAAAGGCAUGACAGAGGAAGAAGAGAGAGAUAGCGUACAUGGGCCCCCGUAAAUCCAUUUAUUUAUUUAUUUAUGUGCCACGGGGGGGCUUUGCGAAGCGAGGGUGGACGAAGAGUGUAGGGUCUAGCUUAUAGCAUAGCAGCCAGAAUGCAUCGGCCCAAGAAUCCCACGGGAACGUGCGAAGCGUGCUAGACACGGGGGAAAGAUCGCAAAAGUCAUGAAGGACACGCGGAUAUUCGAUGAACAUGUACGAAAGAGAGAGAGAGAGAGAGGAGAGAAGGGAUGCUUACAAUGGCGUAGGACCAACCGUUACGGAAGAAGAUGCUGCUGCAACUUCGGUCCAGGUCCAGAUAAGAAUCCUCUAACCAAACUUCGAGUCUUCUCCAGAUGAUUCGGUGUUAUUACUUCAACCUGUGCGAGAUACUUCUGCAUGGUCGUUUCCAAGUCUGGGACUGGAAGACUGGGUAGAGGUUUGACUCUCUGCAAUGUAGCCAUGGUCACAACGACGUUCCUACAACCGACGAGGAAAGGUUCGCUGGAAGAGAAAAGAGUGCGAGGAAAGGAUGAAUGUUGUUUCCUACUUCUCUGAGCAAACACUGGCAAAUCGAACAAAUUGGCAAACAGUUGGUGAUGCGCAACCGUGCGAAGCAAUUACGGAUUUUGCGUGAACGCCACGUCGCGCGAACUCUUUGUAGGAGGGCGAAUAAGAGGAGAGAGAGAGUUUUCUACCAUUGGCAACUUCGACGAGCAAUUAGACAGAAGAACCAGAAUGAGGUGGUGUUGCCUGGGUUAAAGCGAGUAAGAGAGGAAGGGCCAAAGAUACCUCGUAGGGGAUUCUAGCCAACCCUUCAAUUAUCGUAGAGCGUACGUUUUUACGCUGGCAGGUUUACUUUACGCCAUUAGCAAUUCGAUAUCCUCGAGAAUGGAAUACAAAUAACGAAGAUUCGGGAGAGAAAGGAGAACAAUCAUUAGUACGUUUUAUAUAGAAACAAAAGUUCGUGAAAAGUUAGGAGUGCAAUGCGCCUGUCAAUCGAUCACUGACUACUGUCGUUUGCUCAACUCUGUUAUUUGCAAAGCAUCCUCAGGGGCAACUUCAGAAGUUUACGCUUAAUCACGAAAUGGACUGAGAUUGGAAACGGCAAACUCACUUCUAUUCCUCUCUCCCCGUUUGUUGGUAUCUACGAGCUAGCAACGAGAGCUGGUGGGGCAGGAGUUUAGUUAGCGACACUCGCGAGUUGUCGUUUCUCUUUGAAGUCGGCCUUUGGAACUGUUCUAGUAGCGUGCCGCAACUCUUCUUCCCUUGAUCAUGCUUAUUAGCGAAAGUAGAAGAACGACUAGCGAUACGUCCAACUGGGGUCAUCAUAUCUUUUUUCUGCUCGAUGCGAGAAAUCUCUUCACUCACCCGGUGAAACGAAGCGUAUAAACGAUAUCGAUUGAACGAACUUUUCAAUACGGGCUGCUCACGUACGACCUCUCUUUAUGGGAUCAUCCACUUUAAUCGCAUCCUCAUGGUUUCUCCAUUAGAGAGAGAUUUGGAUAUCUUGCGAAUAUCAAAUAACGCGGAAAUUAAUUCGUUCCAUUUCUGAGGUUCCGCCUUCCGAGAAUCUAUAUCGAUUGAUAAUAUCGCGUUUGUUCUUUUAUUUUUUGUUUCUCUUGUUUUCUUUCUUCAAAGAUUCAAUCGUAUUCGUCAAAUGUUACUUUUUCGCAUUUUCAUAUGUAUUUAUACAUUUGGAAGAUCCAAUGCGUUUGAUAACUUGUUAGGAAAGUGUUAAGAAAUUAACGCGAACGAAUUCGGGAAUAAUUUUCUUCGAUAACGCGAGCUUGAGUACUCGUAAUGCUCGUUUUAUGGUUCUUUUUAUCGUCCACGAGACAGACCGCUUAGAAGUUUCUCGAGUUAUAUAGUAUACACGCAAGACUACAAUCGAUUCACGACGAAAUUUCUUGGAAUGGAGUAAAAUCGAGUUACUAAUUUACUCGUUCCUUCGUCGAUAGAGAACUUGACCUUACCAGAUCGUCAACUAUAAUGUCUGGCGCAAAAUUAAUAGAAAAAGAAAUCUUCAUCGACUUAAUUUAAAGAUGAAUCCCGUUAACAAACUUGCAGAUGAAUCGGGAAUAACGAAGGAAAAGAGUGCAAAAUAGAAAUGUAGAAAAGAAAUUCGGGUCAUUGAAUAUAACAGAGCCAAACAUAGAGUUUCCGCUUGGCAUAAUAGAUCGAAUGGUGGCAUGGCAGAUGGCACGUGACUCAUACAUAAAACGUGGCCCGCAAGGCACCCUUCGGGGGUCAGGAACGAUUCGUAAAUAAAUUAGCUCGCUAUCGGAACUCGAGAUAACGCGUUAUUUAUGGACCGCUCGUGACGGUGCACUCUUUUCACCUAAGCUACGAAGUAAAAGAAGAGUGGAAAAGGUCUGCGGAACAGGAGCAUCAGCAUCAGCAUCAGCAGCAGCGACAACAACAACAACAACAGCAGCAGUAGUAGUAACAGCAGGUGGAGAAAAGCCUGGCUAUCGUGGUUAUUCCGUUUAAUGGGAUACACGAAGGGCUGGAAUACCACGAGCUUGGCCAGGUGGAAUAAGCGAAGUCGCGGCUUACCAUGUCCAACGCCUUUGACCUAAGCCGAUUUUCCUCCGACGUAUAUAAUAUCGCGUGUAUAUAUAUGUAAAGAAAGCUGAUUGACAAAGCAGAGAAAAUAAAGAGCUAAUAAUUCAAGAAGGAAAAGAAGAAAGAGAGAGCUCGAAGGGUGCAGAAAAAAUCAAAGGCUUUUGGUGGUUCUUUUUGCUUCGUAAAAUAAGACCGAAAAUCCAAUAUAAAAGCAAUAUCUGAAGUGACACGGCGAGCAGCACGACGGAGUUCCUCUCUUGCCCUAUCAACGGAGACUUCUAAGCGCCCUCGAUUCGAGGAAGCAAUUUUCUUAUGGACGUCUGCAGCUCUUCGUCUCUUCGCUUUUACUUCUUAUAUAUGGAUAUUCUCACCUUCUCCCGUAUCUAUGUAUAUUGAAUUUCGUAGAAGCAAUGGAACGUUAUUCGCGAGAGAAGUGACGUUAACUUUUCAGAUAGAACUACAAGAUAACUCGUUAGUCAAGUGUUGCUUGCUUUUAUCUUCGUUGGCUCGCGUCACUGUCGCGUUGGUAACGAGAUUUUAUCCAAAGCCGGCUACGUGUCAUUUACAUAUAUCGCCUGGAGGCGGCUUCUACCACAGCUUUUUCUUUCUCUCUCUCUCUCUCUCUCUCUCAUCUCUUUAGGGCGAUUUCGAGGGUGUGCUACGAUGGCCGUCGAUUUACAUUUACAAGCAAGACCUUCGCGAAAAGGACUUGAUACGAAUUUAACCAGGACCAGAAAUGGAAAAGUAAAUGCAAAGUUAUCAGUAAGAAGAGAAAAAGAAAAACAAGAAAAAUAGUUCUUUCUUAUAUUUUUGGAUGUUUCGUGUGAUUAGGGAGAACAAACGAAAACGCGAAAGGAAGGAAUUGGUCGAUAAGGGAUAAGGAACAAAGUGACGACUUACCGUAGCUGGACAAGACGAGCUGUCCCUGGAGAGACUACCGAGAGUCACGAGCAAACGACGCGGGGCCCCCAACAUCGACUCUCGCCAUCCCUCUGGAAAGGAAAAGAAAAAGAUAAAUAGCUCAAAGAAAAUUGCAUUAUUUAUCGGCUGACAUCUUUCUCGAUAUUGCGUUCUGCAUCCAUUUUGAUGGAUGGAGACACUACCAGAAACCAACACGCAAUAACUUUUAGAGCGAAUGACGGAAAAAGUGUUCAUCUCUUAUCGAACAUGGAAUAACUUUUGAAAAAGCGAAGAGAGAACUCUACGUUCUUUAUCAGAUAUUCAGAUGUUAAUAUGCCAAUGCGUACAAAGCGUAUGAAUAAUUCUGAAGAGAAGAACGCGCGUUAAUGUUUUAUCAUUCAAACAUUCAUAAUUUCAUUGAUAGAUUUCUCCUCUUUUUAUAGAUGCUACAGAUCGUUGAGAUAUUCUUUUAUUUGACACGAACUUUUAACUUUAAGAAAGUUAAAUAUCCUUGAUCGUAAAGUAUAAUACGAGUAGGCGUGAAAGAACGUAGGUUACGACAGGCCACAGGGGAGUUUCAUAUUGCUGGAUUAAGUGUUAAACUUCCAUCUUCGACUUUAGCGUUCUCUCUCUCUCUCUCUCCCUCUUCCACCCUAGGGAUCGUUAUCUUCUAUCUCUUACUUUCGUACCGGUCGCGUCUUAAACCAACCAAGUUAUGGGCGCGACUUUCAUUAAACGGCUUGAUGACGGAUCGCUUUGUCUCCUUCGUAUUAACGAAGCCUGCCGAAAGCACCAAAUUCUGUCUGAUAUUAAGGACCAGGUUCGUCCCUCUCCUUACGAGAUUUCCUCUGUUACGAUUUACUUGUUUGCUUGUUGUCUUAAACAAGACGUGAAAUUGUCGAGAAACUUCAACGAAAUUAAUCAUAAAGUUUUCACAAGAUUUAUCGGUACGCGAUAGUCGAAUGAUACAAGUGACGAUUCAAUUCGUGAUAAGAAUUUCAACAAUGAAAUAUUAUCGGCGUUCUUUAAGAUUUAUGAAUACGUAUUGUCGAAUAGAAUGAAUGUGUGUGUGUACGUCUGUACGAGAGAGUGUGCGAGUGUGUCUGCAAUAAUAACGUUACGAUACAUCUUUAGAACGGUCUCGUUGCGUGGCCACUAACCAACCUCCGAAUUAAUAAAUCUCAAUUACGUAAGUUGAUACAGAGAGAAGGGGUAAUUCUGUCCCCUAGUCUUUGUCAGGAAUGUCGAGGGUGAAGGUAUCUCUAUCGGUCAUUGUUAUCGAGCUCAUGACGAUCAGACUUGUAAAUGAAGGAAAAGAAAUCGGAUAGCAAAUAUGAAAACCACAGGGAAAAUUGUAGUUGCGUGGAAAACGCACUUGUUCCGAUAAAACUGUGACAUUUGUAGAAUCUCCAACGGGCAAUAUAUAUGUCCUAUAGAACGUUACGCAAAGAUUCGGAAAAGGAACUUCCAAUGGAACGUUAUUCAUCCUGAUGCCUUUUGAAGAUAAAACGUUCGAAUCGAUUUUAUCCUGGAAAAAUUCGUACGUUGCAGCAGAUUCGUCUAUAAGGGCAAAGUAGGAAGUAAGAAAAGGGCAGUAGAAAGGGAAAAGGGAACGAAAAAAAAAGAAGAACUGAGGAAAAGAGGAAAAAGGGCUGUUCGUAAUAAUUUGGCAUGCUUCGUUUAUUAUUCUCGUAAGACGAAGUCAAGUAUAGAAACAACGAGAAAUUACCUGGAUGCAAAUCGCUCAGGAAGCAUUUAACGAGCGCACAUCCGGUUCGCGGGUUAAAGCCUUUCCUGUUCCUUCGAGAGUUGUCAACCCUUUUGCACUAUGAUUACCACGAAGGUUCACAUAUUUAUAUUAUUUGGGUGUAUGAACAUUGAACGAGUUCGUUUACGCUCGAUUAUUUUCAUGAAGCGUUGAAAAUACGAGAAUUUGUUCGAGUUUCACUCGACCUCUUUUUAGCAAAAUUCUCGGCUAGAGUAUAUACCCGAGAAAAUGAAGAAAAAAGUAACGUUCCUGCUUGGCUCUGAUAUUCAUCUUAUAUUGCCAAAAAAAUAUAUGAAAACGGAUAGAGGAAAAGAAUACCUGAUAAAAAGAGAGACGAUGUAUCCAUGUGUGCGUGUUAUUUCAAGGGACGAUUUCGUCGUUUCACCGGCUCAUUUUUCCAAGACGAUGUACCAAUUUCUUUUCUCCUCUGUCUUUCACCCUCGCCGACUAGACCAAAGACACGAUCUCAUUUUAUCUUUUCGACCCCUUACACGAUCCACGUUUGUUACAAGCCCCCCAAACCUCGACCACUAUGCUCACCAUCGUGGCAUAGUCAUCGUCGCUACCGUAGCUCUCUACUCUUCUCUUAUACUUUCGUUCAUCCCUCUUUCGUCUACACCCUCUCACGGCUUGUUCGAGGGUGGCUAUCCUAUACUCCAAGUCCGACUGACGGUAGAUAGAACACGUCGAUUCAAAAAGACACUUGAACGUGUGCAACUUUAGAUUUUCUUCUUGUUUUUUAUAAUAUCAUUGUCUCUUCUCUUAAGUAGAUAUUGUCUUUUCAAUUGUUAUGAACGAUGAUCUAUCAUGAUGGUAGUAGAACAUUUUUCAUUGUUAAAUAAUUUCCGUCAUAAUCGUUUGUCGAUCAUUAUUAUUCGAUAUGUACAUUAAAAAAUUGAUUUGUAUUCGAGAUAUGACAGAGAUUAUUUUAUAAUGUAAUAUGUAAUCCAUUAUUUCUUAUUUGACAUCAUUAUUAGAUAUGACAUUUAGUAAUAAUUCUCUUUCAAAUUCCGCUAGAAUCGUAAUGUUUCCUGUGUUUGUUAAUUUUUAUUUAUUAUGAAAAACUGAGCGAAUCGAAUCUAAUAAAAUUGUACGCACGAUUUACUUAACGCAAUAAAAAAUAAUCGAAUGUUGCGAAAAAGGUUGCUCGUUCUAUGUAUUUAUUGCGAAUGUAAAAAAUGUAAAAAAUGUAAAAAAUGUAAAAGAUGUAAAAAAUGUAAAAGAACGUGGAAAAAUAUUACAAAUUAUUGAAACAAAAA